UCCCUGGUGGUCCAGUGGCUAAGACUCUGCACUUCCAAUGUAGGCGGCCCAGGUUCAAUCUCUGGUCAGGGAA
rnacentral:tRNA from 1 species